AACGAACGCUGGCGGCAUGCCUAACACAUGCAAGUCGAACGAGACCUUCGGGUCUAGUGGCGCACGGGUGCGUAACGCGUGGGAACCUGCCCUUAGGUUCGGAAUAACUCCCCGAAAGGGGUGCUAAUACCGGAUAAUGUCUUCGGACCAAAGAUUUAUCGCCUUUGGAUGGGCCCGCGUUGGAUUAGCUAGUUGGUAGGGUAAAAGCCUACCAAGGCGACGAUCCAUAGCUGGUCUGAGAGGAUGAUCAGCCACACUGGGACUGAGACACGGCCCAGACUCCUACGGGAAGCAGCAGUGGGGAAUAGUGGACAAGGGGGGAAGGCCUGAUCCAGCAAUGCCGCGUGAGUGAUGAAGGCCGUAGGGUUGUAAAGCUCCUUUACCCGGGAUGAUAAUGACGGUACCGGGUGAAUAAGCUCCGGCUAACUCCGUG
rnacentral:rRNA from 1 species